rnacentral:lncRNA from 1 species
UUUUUCUCCUCUAUUUCUUCUUAUUUUCCUCUUCUUAUUCUUCUUAUUCUUCAUUUUCUUCUUUUCUUCUUCUUCUUCUUCUUCUUCUUUUCUUCUCCUCUUCUUCUUCUCCCAUUUUUCUUCUUCUUGUUCUUCUUCUUGUUCUUGUUCUUGUUCUUCUUCUUCUUCUUAUUCUUAUUCUUCUCUUCUUUGUAUCGUCCUCUUCUUACCCUCUUCUACUUCU